AUAUUUACCAGGCAAGAGAGAUACCAUGAUAACGUGGGUGAUUUUCCCAGGGUGAGAUUUAUCCAUUGUACUCUGGAUGUGCUGACAUCUAUGAGUUCAUUAAACGUGGGAAAUGUGACUGCAUAAUUCAUGGUAGUGGGGGGCUUUGUUUGUGCUCUUCCUUG
ensembl:snRNA U1 U1 spliceosomal RNA